AACGAACGCUGGCGGCAGGCUUAACACAUGCAAGUCGAACGGGUGCAGCAAUGCAUCAGUGGCAGACGGGUGAGUAACACGUGGGAACCUUCCUAGGGGUACGGAACAACUCAGGGAAACUUGAGCUAAUACCGUAUACGUCCGUGAGGAGAAAGAUUUAUCGCCCUUAGACGGGCCCGCGUCGGAUUAGCUAGUUGGUGGGGUAAUGGCCUACCAAGGCGACGAUCCGUAGCUGAUCUUAGAGGAUGAUCAGCCACACUGGGACUGAGACACGGCCCAGACUCCUACGGGAGGCAGCAGUGGGGAAUCUUGGACAAUGGGCGCAAGCCUGAUCCAGCCAUGCCGCGUGAGUGAAGAAGGUCUUCGGAUUGUAAAGCUCUUUUGCCAGGGACGAUAAUGACGGUACCUGGAGAAUAAGCCCCGGCAAACUUCGUGCCAGCCGCCGCUGUAAUAC
rnacentral:rRNA from 1 species